rnacentral:rRNA from 1 species
GACGAACGCUGGCGGCGUGCCUAACACAUGCAAGUCGAGCGGAGUCGAUCGACGGAAGCCUUCGGGCGGAAGAUGGUUGACUUAGCGGCGGAUGGGUGAGUAACGCGUGGGCAACCUGCCUCGAAGACCGGGAUAACAGCCCGAAAGGGCUGCUAAUACCGGAUGUGGUCAAGGAUCCGCAUGGAUUUUUGAUUAAAGGGGAAACCCGUUUCGAGAUGGGCCCGCGUCCUAUCAGCUAGUUGGUGAGGUAAAAGCUCACCAAGGCGACGACGGGUAGCCGGCCUGAGAGGGUGACCGGCCACACUGGAACUGAGACACGGUCCAGACUCCUACGGGGGCAGCAGUGGGGAAUCUUCCACAAUGGGCGAAAGCCUGAUGGAGCGACGCCGCGUGAGCGAAGAAGGCCUUCGGGUUGUAAAGCUCUGUCUGGAGGGACGAAGGAAGUGACGGUACCUCCGGAGGAAGGCCACGGGCUAACUACGUGCCAGCAGCCGCGGUAAUAGCACGUGUA